CCUCCCGUGUGUGGGGGGGAGAGACGAGCCUGGCGCCGGCGCAGAGCAGCAGCGGGAGUCCCCCGGGCCGGCCAGGCCUCCGGCCCGUCACCCCGGACCUGGACGUGCCGGUCGGGGCGGCAGGAGGUCCGUGUGCACGUGCGGGGCUGUGCGCGGUGCCGGGGCCGGUGACCUCUGUGGUCGCGGGCUGGGACAGCCGGUGACGGAGGCCGGUCGCCGCACCGUCGGGGCCUCUCGGAGCCGGUGACGUUGGCGCCGCGACUGCAGCAGCAGCAGCAGCGGUGGCGGCAGCAGCAGCAGCAGCAGCAGGAGUUUGGCCGACUCCGGUGAGGCCGGUGGGAAGCGCCAGCACCGAGCCCGGAGUUUCAGGUGUGCGACACAGGGGUUCCGAGCGGCACCGGGUGCCCGCCACGAGGGCGUCCUCAACCCCCGUCGCCUGCUCCAUCCACCACCCUCCCUGGUAACCGCCGGCGUGGUCCCCACAGAAUCCACCGCGUCCAGGAAAAUACCGUUGGGACCGAUCCGAGGGCAGCUGUGUUUGCAAGCUAAACUAAACCGGUGACCCGUUCUCCCCA